GAUGAACGCUGGCGGCGUGCCUAAUACAUGCAAGUCGAGCGAACAGACGAGGAGCUUGCUCCUCUGACGUUAGCGGCGGACGGGUGAGUAACACGUGGAUAACCUACCUAUAAGACUGGGAUAACUUCGGGAAGCCGGAGCUAAUACCGGAUAAUAUAUUGAACCGCAUGGUUCAAUAGUGAAAGACGGUUUUGCUGUCACUUAUGGAUGGAUCCGCGCCGCAUUAGCUAGUUGGUAAGGUAACGGCUUACCAAGGCGACGAUGCGUAGCCGACCUGAGAGGGUGAUCGGCCACACUGGAACUGAGACACGGUCCAGACUCCUACGGGAGGCAGCAGUAGGGAAUCUUCCGCAAUGGGCGAAAGCCUGACGGAGCAACGCCGCGUGAGUGAUGAAGGUCUUCGGAUCGUAAAACUCUGUUAUUAGGGAAGAACAAAUGUAUAAGUAACUAUGCACGUCUUGACGGUACCUAAUCAGAAAGCCACGGCUAACUACGUG
rnacentral:rRNA from 1 species